GUGCAGUGAAUGUGUGCUGCUUGUGUGUUGCAGUUGGUUGAAGGUGACCGAGUGCCUGACUGAAAAGAAUCUGCCCACCUUUAAGCCAGGUGACAAGUUGAAAGAAAAAGACUGUCAGGUGAUUAAAGACAAGUUCAAGACUAACACAACAAUAAAGGCUCAGAAGGCGUGGGCCAUCCCAGACAGAGAGCAGCGCCAGUCCAUCUGUCAGGCCCAGAGAGAGAUGGUGUCCAAGGCCUACACAGCCUUUCUGCU